rnacentral:rRNA from 1 species
AUUGAGCGCUGGCGGCAUGCUUUACACAUGCAAGUCGAACGGUAACAGGCCGCAAGGUGCUGACGAGCGGCGAACGGGUGAGUAAUGCAUCGGAACGUGCCCAGUCGUGGGGGAUAACGCAGCGAAAGCUGCGCUAAUACCGCAUACGAUCUAUGGAUGAAAGCGGGGGACCGUAAGGCCUCGCGCGAUUGGAGCGGCCGAUGUCAGAUUAGGUAGUUGGUGGGGUAAAGGCUCACCAAGCCAACGAUCUGUAGCUGGUCUGGGAGGACGACCAGCCACACUGGGGAGGAGACACGGCCCAGACUCCUACGGGAGGCAGCAGUGGGGAAUUUUGGACAAUGGGCGCAAGCCUGAUCCAGCAAUGCCGCGUGCAGGAAGAAGGCCUUCGGGUUGUAAACUGCUUUUGUGCGGAACGAAACGGUCCUGGUUAAUACCUGGGGCUAAUGACGGUACCGUAAGAAUAAGCACCGGCUAACUACGUGCCAGCCGCCGCAGUAAUAC